rnacentral:lncRNA from 1 species
CAUCACAAUAUCAUCGAAACUUCUUUCAAUAGAUUGAAAUAUUUUCAAUUCUACCCUUCAAGGGUCAUCGAUCAUUAAGACGAUUCUUGAUAAGUCUCACAAUCCACCAGUGAUAUCUAGCAGAUAUAGUGCCAACCCAGUAGAAUGAGAGUAUGAACUCCUAGAUGCAGUUAUCAUAUGAUUCGUCCUUCUAUCAUGAGUCCUGACCUAAUGGAGG